AAGAGCCUGGACCCGGGCCUAAACUCGCCCGAGGCUCUCUCUCUGUCUUGUUGUUAUGGUGAUCGCUGUUGCCACCUCUUAAUCCGACCGCUGGGAAAUUCCUCAGGGUGGGGUCAGUGUCCAGUGCAUUUCCGGGCCUUCAGACAACAGUGUGGCCGGAAUGUCCGUGCACCGCGCGCACAGCUCAGGUCUCCAGCGCCGCCCUGCCCGGGCUCCUCCAUCCCAUAGAGAAAUCCUUCCCACCACCUGCAAGGUUUACGGACCCACAGGAAGAUGGAAAUAAACCCGAAUACAUCGGUGGCCGACUGAUUCCCAGUAAGGGAGCCCAGACCGUUCAAUGACAAAAAGUCCUUCAACAGAUGGCGCUGGGCCCCUACCUCACACCGCACACAAAAAUGAACUCAGAGUGGAUCAAAGACCCACACGGAAGGAGUCAAAACUGUGAAAGUCUCGGAAGGAAACGCUGGGGGGGGCUCCUCGCCGCCUCGGAGUGGGUGAGAGGCUCUUGGCUACGACACCAAGGCACAGGCAGUCAAGAAAAAACUGGGUAAAUUGGACUCUGUCGACAUUAGAAACUUCCGGGCAUCGAGAGAGUGUGUAGACGGCCCACGCUCGGGAGAGGCCGUCUGCGGAUUAUAUCCCUGAUAGAGACCUCGUGUCGGGAUAUAUAACGAACUCUCACAGCUCAGCAACAACAGGUCAAGAAUGGACGGAGGACCCGAACAGGAACUUUUCCCAAGAAAACGUGCAAAUGGCCAACAAGCACGUGAAAAGAGGGAAACGCAACUCAAAACCACGCUGAGAUGCCCGCGAGGAUGCCUAGAAUGGGGGGGAAAGUAGCGAGUGCUGGCCAGGAUGUGGACCACGUGGAACGCCUGGGCGCUGCUGGCGGGAGCACGGGACGGGACGGCCACUCUGGAAAACGGUUUGGUGGAUCCCGAAGAGUAAAACGUCGAAUGAUCACUUGAUGAAGCUUCUCCACCCCUACGUACACACCCAGAGAACUGAAACCAGGGCUCCAGACAAACACUUGUACACAAAUGUUCACAGCAGCUUUAUUCACAGCGGUUGCAAAGAGGAAAGGACCCACGUGCCCGUCGCCUAAAGCAAAGGUAGGCUCUGUGCCCACUGCGGGGCCCAAACUCACGACCCUGAGAUCAAGACUUGCAUGCUCUAUGGACAGAGCCAGCGUGGCACCCCACUUAUCUAACGAAUUCUAACGGGAUUUCAGUUGACUAUUAGCCACAACUUAAUCUUUUAAUUUCCAAAUACUUAUGUCUUUUAUUUUUUUUUAAAUACAUUAUUAUCUUGACUGGCAUCUCUAGUAAAAUGUUGGUAGAUGAUGAAAUAUUUUAAAAUAUUGACAAUCAUGAAGAUACUUGUUUUUCCUUCCUUUUGAAGCGUCAGCAUUAACCGUGGUGUCGGCUGAAGGUUUCUAGAAGAAAUCCUCAUCAAGUUGGGGAAGUCUUCUUUCCUUGCUAAGAGGUUUCCUUUUAACGUUUUAGUAGGGAAAGAGGUGGGAUUUUCCCACACCUGUUGUGAUGAGCGGGUCAUUUGUCCCUUGUGGCUUCUCACUGCCGUCAAUUAUAGUCAUAGGUCCUCUGACGCCGAGCUACCCUCACAUUCCAGGAUUUACCUGACUUGGAACGCGAGCAUCUUCGACACCAUCCUGGCUGUCGUUUGCUAGGGUAAGCCUCCGAGCCCUUCAGUCCUGAUGGUCUGGCCGACUGCUGUGUGGAUGGUCUGCCCCGGGCUCAGGGCAAGUGUCUGUCACGGUGUCCGUGGGUGGGAGGGACCCCGUGGGCAUCAGUGGCACCGUCCCUGUCUUGCUCUGGCUGCUGUUCCACCGGGGGGUGACCGACGGCACCUGUCGGCCUGGCCUACCGUAGCCAGCUUCCGGUGCUGUGUGUCCCACAUUCUAGCAAGUUCUCUGUAGAGCCGGCUGCCUCCCCACCUCCCUCUGGGCUUUCCCUGACCUGCUCAGUAAGCACCGCCCAAGCU